UACGUAGGGUGCAAGCGUUAUCCGGAAUUAUUGGGCGUAAAGGGUGCGUAGGCGGUUUGGUAAGUCUUAUGUGAAAUCUACAGGCUCAACUUGUAGUCUGCAUGAGAAACUGCCGGGCUUGAGUAUGGGAGAGGUGAGUGGAAUUCCUGGUGUAGCGGUGAAAUGCGUAGAUAUCAGGAGGAACACCUGUGGCGAAAGCGGCUCACUGGACCAUAACUGACGCUGAUGCACGAAAGCUAGGGGAGCAAACAGG
rnacentral:rRNA from 1 species